UACAGAGACUGCAAGCGUUAUUCGGAUUCACUGGGCGUAAAGGGUGCGCAGGCGGCCGAGUGUGUGAGGCGUGAAAGCCCGGGGCUUAACCCCGGAAUUGCACCUCAAACUACUUGGCUAGAGCAUUGGAGAGGGUAGCAGAAUUCAUGGUGUAGCAGUGAAAUGCGUAGAUAUCAUGAGGAAUACCAGAGGCGAAGGCGGCUACCUGGACAAUUGCUGACGCUCAGGCACGAAAGCGUGGGGAGCAAAAGGG
rnacentral:rRNA from 1 species